GUAUAAUUUACAGCACUGAUUUUUAACUGUGAUUCAGAAAACGCAAUCUGCUCCUGCAGGAUGGGCUCUAAUAAAUGGAUGAGUUUGGGAAAGAGCAAAGGCAUUCCCAUUUCAGCAAUGGUGUGUCCGUGCUCAGCUCCGCGGGAGGAAAUCCAUUGACCGAAGCCAUGCUGACGCCUGGGGGAUGCGGUUACAUGUUCAUCAGUCACCUGUCUGACUGUGGACCCACUGGGAUGCAGAGCAAUAGGAGAGCAAUGGACUGUCCUCAAAGAGGGCCAUGAGCUGCACUGCCAGUGGGGAAGAACUGCUUCUGCUCAUCCGGGUAAUGUCGCUGUGUUGGCUGAAAAGUCUCCACUUGGUCCUGAGCGGUGCCACCUGCAGAUCCCUGCACCCACUGGAACAAAAUAAAAAGGUGUCGUAUGUGGUUUCAUGGCAGCAGGGAGGUGACAGCACACAUGGGCUGAGAAGCAGAAAUCCCCUUCAACAGCAGAGACUAUCUCUGCCAGCAGGUAGAGAAGAGGUUGUUUGUCUGAAGAAAGAAGGGUGUGGUGGAAAUACUUCAUGCCAGUCAAGUCAACCAAAAUACUACCUGAGUUACAAAGCAUGCUGGAAAACAAAAUUAAACAGAAGAUCUGGGCCCCACCUGUGCUCUCCCAGGAGCGACUGAGAGAAAAGGAGUUCUGGGAGCUGGGAACACACAGCUCCCUGCAGAUUCAUCUCAGUGACUGUGAAAUUCCUGAGGAUGUUAUUACUUUCAAGUCAGAUUAACGGAGUAAUUUCCAGACAACCAUGCUACCAGAAUACAUGAUACUACUCCUAAAGUGGACCUCAAAAACUUUGAGAAAGAAAAUGAUUCCAUCUUUUUUGAUCAGGUUCUUCCUCUACAGGAGUUCCUGCAGCUACAGGACCAGGAGAUGUUCAAAUGAAUCUUGGGAGGAAUAAAUUAUAGAAGUCACAGAAGGUUGUUUCUGAAGAAAGAGCAGCCGUGUGCUUUAAACCAUGUGUUCUUGCUGGUCUGAAAUGGGCCCAAUCUUUUCUACUAUUAAAAAGCGUAAGUAUGUUUGGGUGUGGAUUUUAAUACUUGGUUACACACAUGAAAUUGAGCACCUAAGUCCUGUUCCUUUUUGUCUUUCUGACAGCAGUGCUUCAGACUUGUCAGAAGUUUUACUGUUCUCUUUUUAUUGUGAUCCUGAUCAACAGGACACUUCAGUGCCUCCUAAAUAUUUAUGGACUUCAGAGUCAUUCAGAUGCUCUGUGAUUGUCUUACUGUUACUGUUUUAUUGCCAGAAGAUGGAGGCAAUACCAGAAGUGACUUGGUCAGCCUUGGUUUUCCCCUUUUUCUUUGUCCAGUCCUCGUGUCUUUUACGUUUCUUCUGUUUUGUCUUCUUUCCAGUGUUUCUGCCUCACUGACUAGUCCUGUCCUCACUGCCUCCUAUCUGUCUUUCAUACAUCUGUCUCCAUUUAUUCUUCUCUAACAAUUGCACUAAAGAGGGCCCAUGAUAGAGAGAAAUGCUUUUUGCCUUGGCAGCAGCCUUCCCCUAAAUAUCUGGGAUGGGUCCAAGCAGCUCUCGCCGUGUUUGUCAUCCUUCUCCACAUCCCUGGUGUCCCUGAGCUCCAGCCAGCAAUUCCAUAUCUGCCACGAGGGCACCUCCCAUUCAGCCACAAUCAGAUGAAGGUGUUGUAAUGCUGUGUGCUACUUGCACUGCUCACCAUGCUUGAACAGCCUCUUUCUAGGAACUGAACGUGUGCACCAGGCCUUUCCCACAGAAUAAUGACAGAUAGCAAUGCUGCCUUUUGCACGUCUUGCCUGUGCUCCUCUGCCCUUCUUUCUCUAAUAGGCUUUUGUGGUUCAGUCUGCUGGCUGGUGCCAUUACACUCAGACACAAGACUUGUCUUCAGCUUUGCCCAGGGCGAGGUGAGCUGGAAUCCCUUGCCCCCCUAGUCAGCACUCUACCCAAGAGAUUAUCAGCUGUUCUGCAAGGAGUGUGUCCUUGCAGCCCUGAGUGUGUGUGUCCUGAGUCCUUUCUCCAUGUGGGAAAGCUUGCGCUGGACUUGUCAGCUGCAUAGUGGAAAAACAUGUCUGUCAGGCCCUACCUUCAGAAAUACAAAAUAUGGAAGUAUUCACUAGAAAGGGGAAACAGAACCCAAGUUUCUUCCUCAGUAAUGCUCUGAGAGCAAUUAUUCCUUACAAACUGGAACAGCUCCAAGGGAAUGGACCCCUAUUCCACUGGAUUCUUUCAGGCUGUGCUGUUCUCGCUUGGCUGCUGAGAGUCAAAUUGUGGGAAUGGAUAGUGAGGAAAUAUGUAGAGGCUGUAAGGGAGGGAAGGAAAAGGUGCUUCUGAACAUACUCUGUUAUCCACGGUGACAGGUCCAUAUCCUUAGCAGACACACACACCUGCCACUACUGCCUCUGUGGCUAUUCUGGACAGGAGUGACAAUGAAAAUGCCGUGGAGGGAAAAAAAAUCUGCUAAAAGACAGGGCAACAGACUGGGGCACUGUAAGGGUGAUUGCUUCUAAAGGUGAAAAUGCAACAAAAACAGACUAAAGAGUCUUAAAAUGCAAAAUCAAUGCCAAAGAAGAGGAAGCCAAAAUGACUUCCAAGCUCAUCUACAGGCAGUUGUCCCCAAGCACAAGCCAGACUCUUAGGUGGGAGACAUCCAGGAAUUUUCUCUCAUACAAAAUUAUUAGGGAUGUUAUAUGUUUUAACUCGAAUGGAAAAGCUGGACCUCUGGCGCUCAGUUCCAAGGGAAAAUACUAGCCAUUGGAAGAGCUGUGGUACCACGGCUCUGUGUGUGUGUGUGUAUGUGUGUGUGGCUGCUCCCUUUUCUCUUAGCUAUUCUAUAGCUUCCUUCAUUCUUCGCUUCUCUCAUAUUACAGAAAGAAGGUAAUUUUUCCUGGCCAUUUACUAAAGCUCAUUAAAGACCGAAGAGAACAAACAAUGCUACUCCUUAGAGACUACCAUUCAAAGUCAUUCUACAAUUCUCUGUUCUAAUACUUGAGACAAAUUAAUUAUUCCUUACUGAAAAGUAUAUAAUUCCUAUUCUUCAUUUUUGGGGUGGGGAGUGGGGAAUAAUAAUAGGAAGUUUAUAUCUGAGUCGAAAGCUGUCUGUGCUGAAGGGAAAUGAGAAAAAAUGCGUGUUCCGAGAAGAGUAAAAGCAAUUAUUCUAAUAAUAAUUCUAGGGAUAUUAAUGUCUUUUUAAAGUAGAUUGCUUUCAAAUAAACACCAAAGUUGAAGGGAUAGGAAAGGCUGGUUUAUUUAUUAAUCAUUUCAAAAGUGCAUUUUUCUAAAUGAACAAGUGCAUGAGCAACUUCACUGGCACAUAUUAAAUUUAGUUAAAUGGCAACUUGUAAAUGUCUAAAAACUUCUGUAACCAGAGACUAAUUUGUUUAACGUGUUGAAAAUGUUAUGUGGAUGUGAGGAACUACAUAUUAAACUUCAAAGCAAAAUACUCCAGAGAUUACACCAUCUUAAAGACUGCGUAUUGGAAAGGCCUUUAUACAUUAAACAUAAAGGAUUUUUAAUUCUCUUCUAUUUUGAAUACUUGUCAAUCUGUGUGACUCAUGCUCAGGAUUGUAAACUGUCAUUUAAGGUGUGAUGUCCAAGUUGAGGCCUGGACCACAAUUUGCAAGGGGCUGGCUUUUCUCUUUCAUCUCUAUUAAUUAAUCCUGUCUCAGUUUGCCCAGCGUACACUGCUGUUGACAUCACCUUUUCCAUAUACUUUAAAGAGUCCCCCGAGAGAUCUACUGCAGAACAAAAACUGGACAGAGAAUACAUUUGGAAACCAUUUUAUUUUUCAAUUACCAACCAAAACGUAUGGAAAAGAUUUACACUCUAUCUGAUUUACACAAUAAUUAUACUUUGAAAGCUUAGAAAUAAAUGGCUUGAUCCAUGGAAUCAUUAGUUACUAUACCAAAUGUAAUUGGUGUAAACUAAUGAGUUUACUGGAUGGCUGACCCUUAAUUACUGAUUAUAGUUAAAUGCUAGCCAAUCAAAAAUGAGUUUACUUAUAAAAGUACAGUAUAGUAUUAACAAGCAUUACAUUUCCAAGUAAGCAGCUUUAUGAUUAGUUGUAGCACACAACUCGAGCCUGUUCAGGGCUAUGAAAAGCAGCUUUUUAAUAAUAGUGCACUAAGCAACCAUCACUCUCUUACCUCAGCAUCUAUCAGACAAACAGAAAGAAACCACAUAAUUAAUCAUCUCAUGCACUAGAAAUAAAGUGUCUGGGCCAGAUCCAGCCAGGAUAUACGCAGCCGUAGUCAGAGGAGCUCCAAGAGGCUCAGGAUUUGCUUUAAAAUAGGAUACCUGACGUGGUGAAUUCUGUCCCCCUGUAGUAAGGAUGUUAAAUAUUGAUUGAUUGUACACAGUCCUGUGUGAUGUGGAGAAGCCCAUCAACAACGUUGCCUAAUAAUUCCUCCAAUUGAGGAGGAUUCCUUGAGCAGAUUCUGUAUGUGGUGAGAAGAUACCCACUCACUCCACUAGCAGCCCUCAACAUGCAGAAAUUCACAGCUCCUCACUAUUUAUUAUGUCAAAUGAAGAGUCAACUUUUAAAUAAACUAGUAAACGAGAAGAAAAUCUUUGUAUUUGUUUCUGGCCGAUCCUUAAGAGUUAAUGUUUUUACCUAACCAGGAAAACUCAAAAUUCUUAUUACAAAAAAUUGAAAGCAGAUUUGUAUAAAAGAGCAUGAUUUCAGAGUUGCAACUUUAAAUAGAUACAGCAAAUAUUUGGAUAAAAUCGUAGGACUUUACAAUAGUCAUAUUCUUAGAGGCACUUAGGUAAGUAAGGACAAUGUUUUAAAGAUGUGGAAAUUCUCCAUCUCCUCUAACUUUCCCGUGAAUCCUAAAUUUCAAGAUAGGAGACUGCUGCUGGGAGGCAUGUGCAUUAGCAAAUGAAGUCUGAUACACUGCAGCCAUGGGGACCAAGUUGGAAGAGUAUGCAUUUGCUGGAGCUCUGUAACCCAUGUGCUCUUCAGAUGACCUCAUGCACCUCACGGUUGCCAGGAUUCAUCCUGUCUGGAUUACAGGUUUCUCCCAUUUCUGCUUCUCUCUAUGAAGUUGUCCUCAGUGCUCACCUCACGUAAAGAGCUAGGCUCAGUGAAGGACCAUCCUCAUCUGGUGGCUCUUUGGCACAAGUGCUGUAACACUUGCUCGUUUAUUAUUAAAAAACAAUCUUAAAACUCAGAAGAUGAAGAAUGAAUUACUUCUUGGAGCGUCUGCAUACGGGUUAAAAAGAAAUUCGCACAUUUACUGAAUUCCUGUUUUUCAGAUGUCCGAGGUCAAGAAAAGGUUAAAGUUGUUCACUGCUUUCAAGCUCUGGCCUUAGAAGUUAAUUCAGUGCUGUGCUGCGAGAGCUACAGAGUAAAUCCUUGGAACAGUGAAUUGCUGGUUUGAUAUCAAGCUCACGUCAACAUUUCUAUCAGAAAGAAUCACCAUAAUCACCAGAUAUAUUAGCAGAAACUGCUCCUUCCCAUUGACCACAUACGCCAAAAUCCUUGGAAACUCUUAAGCCGUGGACUUCCCCUGAAGACAUACAGAGAAAAUGGCUCAAGCGAACACUCCUCCAUUCCUUCAGUGGAGCCCAGGUCAGCUGUGACAAGCAUCUGCUCUGUGGGUAGGUGCAAAAUACACGACAAAGAUAUCGGCCGUGGAUCCCUUCUGUAAACGAUGACCUCAUCCGGAGGUUAUGGGACCUUCACGAGGAUACCAGUCGUACUCCUCCAUGGCGAUGUGUUACAGUGAGUAACUCGCUUCCUGGAUGCACUUGUAACAGGCAGAUAUCCUAACAACACAGGAUACGCAGACAUGUCCAGGUCUUUAAAAAGUCUUCCAAUGCAAUUAUUAAGGUAUUACGUGCUGAUAAUGCCACCAAAAACAUUGAGCAUGCUGUUCAUUCAGUUGGGCAUGAAACUACUUCCUUCUGAAUAUUUUAAAUGUACUUGGCUAAUUAAUUAAACAAUUAAUAAGGGCUACAGUUAAGUUUCUGUUUUUCAUUGUAACAAAUUAUUCCAGAGCAUUGUUUUUACUGAAUUCUGCAUAGGACUCUUUUUGGACACCACACCGAAGUGCAGCUACGAUGUUAAAAGAAAAAUGUUCCUUUGACAAAUGAAAUCUUUAAAAUGGCAACAAGCAAGGAAAAAGUCAGCUCUGAGUGGAAAACAUUUAAUAUGUUUUGAUGAUUUCUUAUCUCAGACAGAAGAGAAGACAAGUUGAUUUUCUCUGCUGAAACUUUUUGAAGUGAGUUCUGACUGAAAAGAUGUGGUGGUGUUUUAACAAAAACAUAUUGUUAUAAAACAUGAUGUAUGCUCAGAAGUAUUAAUGUGUACCUCUCUGCUUCAGGUUUGAACAUUUCAGUCGAGUGAACUAGCCUGUUCCAUUUAUUUUUUAAAUUCUUAUCCAGUUGAUCUUUUUUUUUUGUUGUUCUUUAAGUUUACAGUAGUUCAAUGGCUACUUUUAUCUCUGAUUUAGGCUUUCAAACAGCACCAAACUCUGCCGUCCCAUCCUGUAAUCUGUCCAUUUAUUAUGGUGACUGGUGAACAGAGGCAACAUGUUAGUGCAAGCACUGUAAAAAUAUCUGUGGAGAAAACAUUCUUUCACUCUAAAGGAUAAGUUCCAUAAGAAUGUAUAUUCUCCAGUAUUUGCAAAAGUACGGUACGGAUUUUUCUUGUUAAAGGUGGCAAUGUCUGAAUCGCAAAUAAUUUCACGUUUAUAUGAGAGACAAUAUAUCAUUUUACAGAUCUGUAAUCAUGGAAAUCAAUGGCCAGUAUCCAUUUAAGAAAAUCGAAAUAAUUUAACUGAUUUACUUAAACAAUGCCUUGUUAGACUACGGAAUUUAAAGUCCUCUUUCAAAAUGAAGGUUGUUUUAAGUAGCGAACUUAUUAUUACAUACUACAUUCUAGUGGCACGUAAACACUUCUGAUUUAAAACAUGAAUUCCGUGUAAGUUCAAACUGAUGUCUUUGACUUUAGUUACAGAACUCAAUUUCAGGACUUUCUGCUGCUGGUGGCUGUAUAUCAGUUCUUCCAAUAGGGAUGUGCUCAGGACAAAUUAGUGAACGUAAUUUUAGCUGUAUGAGGUCAUUACAAAUACAGCCUUAGCUCUUCCUAGAGUGGACUUCAUUGUUAAUAUAAAUAUAUAUCUAUAGUUACUGACAUUUAUAUUAUUUGGCUCCUGUCCUAAGUUAUGGAUACAGUGAUGAUAAAAGCCCUUACCUAAGUGAGUCAUGCUUACUAAUUACUUCCAUGGUACUGGGUUCCUGUAAAUAAAGUUACUCAUGUAUUUAUAAGCAAGUCAAAAUUUAUACAUAUGUUUCUAAGAGUGAGUUAUCUUUCUCUCUGGGGCAAACAGCACAGUCUGCUGUUUGGAAAAGAAUGCUGAGAGUAAGGACAUCCAGGGUGCUUCCUCGCUUCUGCAAGGGUGCGUGCUCUCCUCUGCCAUUGGAUAUCCAACUAAAAUACUUAAUUUGGUCACAUUUUUUAAACUGUUUAAGACCCUUCUGCAUUACUUCAAGGUAGGAAAUGGCUGUUGAUUUUUCCUCGCUGUUUCCAAAGAGGCUGCGGUAAGAGGGUUUCAGUCUAAUUGUUUGCUCUAAAGAUGUAGCGUUCAAGACACAAAGCCUAGCAGUGUGACGUGGAAGAUAUCAAGACAAAGCAGCAGCCUCAACAUCUCUCUCUAAUGAGAACAGGAAAAGACAAUUGAGAUCCCGUAGGAAUGCAGUAUAUUUAGGAGAGAAGCAGAGCUCCUUUCACGAAUGGAGAGAGAACCCUGGUGAAUGCUGGACUACCUGCUAUCUCUGGGUGUGACUAGGUGAGUGAAGGAUUUGGAUCACAGCCUGUAACGUUUUCCAGACAUUUAGAGUGCAACUACUACAACUACUACGCCAGCAAUUUUAUGCCUUCCUUUCCCUGACUCCAACAGUAUGCGAGAUAAGCAGCCAGAUUUUCUUCUGCAUUGUGUUUUUUUAUCCAUUCAGCCAAAAUUAACAGUCUUCAAGGAUAAUGUAUGCCAAGCGAAUUUAAAUCUUGCGGACUCAAAUCGACCUAAAGUUGAUGGAUACAUUCAUGCCUACUGCUGAAAUCUACCAAUUACACAGAACUAUGCUAACUUACCAUAGAAACAUCUCAUCUAAUAGCACAGAUGAUGUUGAACUAACUAAUUACAUUAUGGCACAUAGACAAUGAAAAACAUAACGAAGAUGACAGCACAGCAACAACAGAUGCUGCACAAAAGAAAAAUUAGAAAAAUAUUGCUCUGCAAAAUGCUGUCUGUUAAGGUUUCUUCUGUUAAAAUUAAUCACAAAAAUUAGUGAAGAUUAGAUUUCAGCAGAAGAUACGAGCAUUGUAAUGCUAUUUGGAAAACGUCAUUAAACCAUUUAAAGUCCUACUCUUUCAGAAGGUAAUUCCCCCUUUUUUUUUUGUAUCACUGUCGGCUUUAAGAUGAGUAAACAGUUCAGUGCCGAUGGCAGAGUUUCUUGGGAGGAUGUCUUUCCCAGUGAGGAGAGGUCCCGAUGGCUCUUCCAGAGCCGUGUUUGGUAGCUUCCAGCCAUUAGAGCUUAGAUAAUUAGGCAACUCAGAUUUUAUUUUAGCUUGGCAUUUGCUCUGUUCUGUGCUCUUGGCUGUCAGUGACAGUUGAUUAUCUGUAG
ensembl:lncRNA